rnacentral:rRNA from 1 species
AGUGAACGCUGGCGGUAGGCCUAACACAUGCAAGUCGAACGGCAGCACAGUAAGAGCUUGCUCUUACGGGUGGCGAGUGGCGGACGGGUGAGGAAUACAUCGGAAUCUACUUUUUCGUGGGGGAUAACGUAGGGAAACUUACGCUAAUACCGCAUACGACCUACGGGUGAAAGCAGGGGAUCUUCGGACCUUGCGCGAUUGAAUGAGCCGAUGUCGGAUUAGCUAGUUGGCGGGGUAAAGGCCCACCAAGGCGACGAUCCGUAGCUGGUCUGAGAGGAUGAUCAGCCACAGUGGAACUGAGACACGGUCCAGACUCCUACGGGAGGCAGCAGUGGGGAAUAUUGGACAAUGGGCGCAAGCCUGAUACAGCCAUACCGCGUGGGUGAAGAAGGCCUUCGGGUUGUAAAGCCCUUUUGUUGGGAAAGAAAAGUAGCAGGUUAAUACCCCGCUGUUCUGACGGUACCCAAAGAAUAAGCACCGGCUAACUUCGU